rnacentral:rRNA from 1 species
AGUGAACGCUGGCGGUAGGCCUAACACAUGCAAGUCGAACGGCAGCACAGUAAGAGCUUGCUCUUACGGGUGGCGAGUGGCGGACGGGUGAGGAAUACAUCGGAAUCUACUUUUUCGUGGGGGAUAACGUAGGGAAACUUACGCUAAUACAGCAUACGACCUACGGGUGAAAGCAGGGGUUCUUCGGACUUUGCGCGAUUGAAUGAGCCGAUGUCGGAUUAGCUAGUUGGCGGGGUAAAGGCCCACCAAGGCGACGAUCCGUAGCUGGUCUGAGAGGAUGAUCCGCCACACUGGAACUGAGACACGGUCCAGACUCCUACGGGAGGCAGCAGUGGGGAAUAUUGGGCAAUGGGCGCAAGCCUGAUCCAGCCAUACCGCGUGAGUGAAGAAGGCCUUCGGGUUGUAAAGCCCUUUUGUUGGGAAAGAAAAGCAGCAGGUUAAUACCCCGCUGUUCUGACGGUACCCAAAGAAUAAGCACCGGCUAACUUCGUG